CUUCUCUCUUCUCUUAGUCUGAGCAGCAAAUCAUGGAGAACAAGGCUUUGUUGGUGUUGUUUUUGGCGCUCGCCAUGUUUGUGAUGAUGCUGGCCAUGGGCGUGGACGUGGGAGGAAUCGCAAAGGCUGCUGCCCAGCGCUGCCAGUCGGGGUGGUAUUGGUAUGACAAUAGUUGCCACCGUUGCCAGAGGGGUUGGGUCUGGCGCAACAAUCGCUGCUGGCGCAACUGAAACAUCCCGUUUCACGGGUGCCAAGAAAGAAUAAAGACACUGAUAACGUGUUUUCUGAUCGUGAUGAGUUCCAGCAAUAAUAAAUAAAUUGUCCAGCUUGAUAUAAAAA